AGUCGACGGUAACAGGCCUUCGGGUGCUGACGAGUGGCGGACGGGUGAGUAAUACAUGGGAAUCUGCCCUAGGGUGGGGGAUAACGUUGGGAAACUAACGCUAAUACCGCAUAACCUCUUCGGAGCAAAGCGGGGGAUCUUCGGACCUCGCGCCAAAGGAUGAGCCCAUGUCUGAUUAGCUAGUUGGUGGGGUAAUGGCCUACCAAGGCUUCGAUCAGUAGCCGGCCUGAGAGGGUGGACGGCCACACUGGGACUGAGACACGGCCCAGACUCCUACGGGAGGCAGCAGUGGGGAAUAUUGGACAAUGGGGGCAACCCUGAUCCAGCAAUGCCGCGUGUGUGAAGAAGGCCUGCGGGUUGUAAAGCACUUUUGUUGAGGAAGAAUGUGUUUGGGUUAAUAGCCCGAACACUUGACGUUACUCAAAGAAUAAGCACCGGCUAACUCCGUGCCAGCAGCCGCGGUAAUACGGAGGGUGCGAGCGUUAAUCGGAAUUACUGGGCGUAAAGCGUGCGUAGGCGGAUGUUUAAGUCUGUUGUGAAAUCCCCGGGCUCAACCUGGGAAUGGCAUUGGAUACUGGGCAUCUAGAGUGUGGUAGAGGGUAGUGGAAUUUCUGGUGUAGCGGUGAAAUGCGUAGAUAUCAGAAAGAACACCAAUGGCGAAGGCAACUACCUGGGCCAACACUGACGCUGAGGUACGAAAGCGUGGGGAGCAAACAGGAUUAGAUACCCUGGUAGUCCACGCCCUAAACGAUGUCGACUUGUCGUUGGGAGGGCUAAACCUUU
rnacentral:rRNA from 1 species